UCUGCCCAAUGAUUUUAAAUAAUUAAAUGGCUGCGGUAUAAUUGACUGUACAAAGGUAGCAUAAUCAAUUGUUUUUUAAUUAAAAACUGGAAUGAAAGAGUUAAUGAGAUAUACACUGCUCUCAUAUAUAUUAAAUUAAUUUAAAUUUUUAGUUAAAAUGCUAAAAUUAAUUUAUGGGACGAUAAGCACCCUAUAGAAUUUUAUAUUAAUAUUUUAAUUAUAAUUUUAUUAUUGAAUAUUAAUAUUUUGUUGGGAGGAUAGGUAAAUUUAUUAAACUUUAUUUUAAAUAUUAACUUUAUAUUAAAGAAUAUAUUUUGAUCUUUUAGUAAAAAUGAAAAGAGUAAAUUACCUUAGGGAUAACAGCGUAAUAUCUUUUUAAAGAUCUUAUUGAAAAAGAUGAUUGCGACCUCGAUGUUGAAUUAAGAUAAAUUUUAAAUGAAGAAAUUUAAUAAUUAAGUCUGUUCGAC
rnacentral:rRNA from 1 species